GCUUUCCACUUCUUCACUCUCUUGUGUCGUGUAUAGACUCGCUACUGCAUCGCUCAUGUAUAAAUUUUUCUUUUGUUGUAUAGUCGAUCAAGACGGUAUAAACUAACCAUUGUUCAGUUUAAUCUGUGUACCCUCUCAAUAACUAUUGCAAGAAACCUUUUGACGACUCACCCAAUAGGUUAUGGGCCCAGAAGAAUACGUACAUUGAGAGGUUAUGUAAUUUUUUCUCAAUAUCUUUGGACAAGGUAACAAAGAGAAAUUUUUUCUUUCUUGUUCGUUGUGGUGUAAAACGGAGAUAAACAUUCUCGACCAUGGCCGAAUCGAUCGACCUGAAAAACAUUACAAAAUUCAACGGAACAAAUUUUCAGCUCUGGAAAUUUCAGAUGCUAGCAGUUUUUGAAACCAGUGGUUUCAAGGAAAUUGUUGAAGGGGCUUCAGCGAGAUCCACAGAAGCGGGUACAUCAUAUGCAGCAUGGGUGUCCAAAAAUGCAAAAGCUAAAUGCAUCCUGGCUUCGUCGAUGGAGUACUCACAAUUGGAAUAUCUGAUAACCUGCCAAACAGCAAACAAAAUGUGAAUGGGUACCAACGACACAGUAAUGCAACAUGUCUCUAAAAUCGAGAACCUCGCGAGACAGCUGAACGAUGUAGGAGAAGUCCUAUCCGAUGUAGCCAUCAACACGAAAAUCCUGAUGACGCUUCCUGAGAAGUUCAACCCACUGAUUACUGCAUGGGACAGCGUAGCUACGGAAAACCAGACUCGUGCCAACCUAAUCGAGCGACUCAUAAAAGAAGAACAUCGUUUAACAACGAUGGAUACAAUGACAGGCGUUUGCAACAACGAGCAUCAGAAAGAAAAACGACAAGUCGAGUAAUAAUUAUAAGAAACACGAGUUCGUAUAAGUUUAAAAAUAAGAAAUCUACAAAAUGUUAUUUUUGUCAUAGAUUAAGUCAUUUUGCAAAAGACUGUCGUAAAAGAAAAGAUUUAAAUAAGGAUAAAUGCGAUAAUAACUGUCCAACAAAUCAAUUCUCAAGCGAACAGAAAAAUAGUCCAAACGAACAUAGUGCAUUUGUUGUUAAACGUAGAGAAACGAAAACGUAGAGAAUAGUAUUUUAAACGCAGAUAUACGAAAUAUAUGGUUGCUUGAUAGUGGAGCCAGUAGGCAUAUGUCUUUCCAAAAAAGUUGGUUCGAUGAUUUUGUCGAAGUGAAUGAAUCGGUUUGUUUAGGCGAUAACUCAAUGUGCGAAGUAAAGGGAUGAGGUACCAUAUACAUUCGGAAGUUGGAUCAACGGUCGCAUCAACGAUGUCCUUUAUAUACCUAGUUUAAGAAAAAACUUAUUCUCGACCGGUGUAAUUACACAAAAAGGUUUUAAUUUGCAUCUAAAUUCAAACAAUGCUUUUAUUUACUCAAGAAAUGAUUUAGUAGCUUACGGAAAACGUGAAAAAAAUAACUUGUAUAGAAUGAUAUUCGAAGUUGUUACGGAACAUGAAGCAAAUCUCGUAACAAAGAAUGAUCUGAAUUUGUGGCAUCAGCGUCUUGCACAUAUCAACUGUAAAUCGUUACGAAAAAUGAUUGACAAUAACUUAGGAACUGGGAUAAAAGCGAAUACACCAAUGACACAAUUCUUUUGCGAAAAUUGCGUACAGGGAAAGCAACAUAAACUAACGUUUAAUAAAAAUCCUCGAAUAAAAAAGAAAAAGGUAGGCGAAUUAAUCCAUGCGGACCUAUGCGGACCAAUGCCUACAGAUUCGGUGGGAGGUUCAAAGUAUUUUCUGCUUUUUAAAGACGAAUUUUCAUGUUUUCGCACGGUAUAUUUCCUAAAGUAUAAAAGCAAUACGUUCAAAUUUUUCAGGAAAUUUGAGGCCUCAUUCCACAACAAAUUCGGAUAUCGCAUAAAAGCCCUAAGAUGUGAUAAUGGUACUGAGUUUUGUAAUAGAAAUUUGAGAGAAUAUUUAUCGUUACACGGUAUAAAACUAGAAACAUCGGCACCAUAUGUGCAUCAACAAAACGGUCAAGCAGAACGCGAAAUGCGUACAAUAUGAAUAGUCGAAUGCGUUCCGACCAUGAUACUCCCGAAAAAUUUAUUCCAGCGACUAUGGGCAGAGGCCGUACAUACAACAGUAUAUAUCCUAAAUAGAUGUGUUUCAUCAAUGUCACACGAAAAAACUCCACUUGAGUUAUGGACACAACAAAAACCAGACUUAGCGCAUGUCAGAAUUUUUGGAAGAAUAGCGUAUACGCAUAUUACAAAAGAAUUUCGUAAGAAAUUUGAUGCGAAAUCGAAGAAAUGUAUCCUCGUAGGCUACCAUGGUGACUCAAAAAAUUAGAUUGUAUGAUCCAAACACUGAUAAAAUUAUAGUUUCGCGCGACGUAAUCUUUAAUGAGGAUAUCGAUAGCAUGAACUCAAAAAAGGACAGCGGUCCUGUUAUUACUAUUAAAAACAAAAUUGUCGAGAAUAACGAAAAUGUAAUAAAUAAGGGAACGGUAGAUGAAGAUAGUUUUCUAGACUACGAAGAUGCAAAUGAUAAAAUAGAAACUCCAUGUUUCACAGAAACACCUAAAAAGUAUAAAUUAAGAGAUCGCAGAUCUAUUAAAGCAAGAUCGUUACUCUGCAUGUCUUGCAUCUUACGACGAGCCAAAAACAUAUUUAGAAGCGAUACAAAGUAAAGAUUCACAUAAAUGGAAAAACGCAAUUGACGAAGAGCUUAAAGCUCACAAAAAGAAUAAAACUUGGGAACUAUCCACUUUACACACAAAUAAAAGGACUAUUGGAUGUAAAUGGGUAUUUAAAAUUAAAGAAAACCCAGGUAUCAACGAAGUAAGACAUAAGGUACGUCUUUGCGCUAAAGGUUAUUCUUAAAAGGAAGGUCUCGAUUAUAACGAGAUCUUUUCACCCGUAGUUCGUUAUGAUUCUGUACGAAUUCUCUUAGCGAUAGCCGCACAAGAAAAUUUAGAAAUUGGUCAAUUUGAUGUAAAAACAGCUUUCGAAACUCCAAGAAGAAAUAUACAUGCAAAUACCAGAAGAUCUUAAGACACAAAACGAAGAUAUAGUCUGCAAGCUGCAUAAAUCGUUAUACGGGCUCAAACAAUCAGCAAGAUGCUGGAAUGAGCGAUUUGAUACUUUUUUAAAACAAAUUGACUUUAAGCAAUCAAAUGCAGAUCCAUGUUUUCUUUCGCAAUAACGAGCAAGGUAAAGUCAUGAUUGCACUUUAUAUAGACGAUGGACUUAUUUUAGCCACAGAUAAGAAUUUGAUAAACGACACCUUGAAGGAAAUACAAAAUGUAUUUGAAAUUACAAUCGAAAAUUCAGAAUAUUUCUUAGGGAUACAAAUAAAGCGCAAUCGCAAAGAAAAUUCAAUAUUUAUCCACCAAUAACUGUAUAUUGAACGCAUGUUAAUACGAUAUAACAUGAUAGAUGCGAAUCCUUUGUCAAUACCCGCAGAUCCUCACGCGAAAUUACAAGUGGCCAAUGUAGAGGACAAUAUUAGACUUGAAGUGCCAUAUCAUGAAGCAGUAGGAACGUUAUUAUUUUUAUAAACUGUAUCAUAACCCGAUAUAGCUUAUGCCGUCGGUAUAGUCAGCCGAUACUUAGAUAAAUACAAUGACCGACAUUAGAAUGCCGUAAAGAGGAUAAUACGAUACUUAUCUUACACGAAAUAUUUAGGAAUAUUGUAUUCAAAGUAUGAAAAUUUAAACUUGACAGGCUUCUCAGACUCAGAUUACGCCGCAGAUAUAGAGACUCGUCGAUCAACGAGUGAUUACAUAUUUAAAUUAUUGAAUAGCCCAAUAACAUGGAUGUCGAAACGACAAACAUGUGUAAGCCUUAGCACUACAGAGGCCGAGUAUAUCGCAGCGUGUCUAACAGUUACGGAAUCAAUUUGGAUACGAAAGUUGUUAUGUAACUUGAGAUUUGAGCGGAAAGAUCCAACGCCAAUAUAUAUAGAUAACCAAUCGACUAUUAAGUUAGUAAAGAACCCCCAAUUUCAUUGUCGAACAAAACACAUUGAUGUAAAAUUUCAUUUUAUUAGAGAGAAAUAUGAUAAUUGCGAAAUCAACGUGAUAUAUAUAUGUACGCGUGAUCAAAUAGCAGACUUAUUUACAAAAGCAUUACCGAAAGAUAGGUUUGAAAACUUGUUAUCGAAUAUAGGUUUAAUACAUAUAGAUAUAUAAUGCAUGUAAUCACAUAUUUACUCCUGUAAUCGGACGCACGAUUUCAUAAAACAUUCAAAAGGUGGGAGUGUUAAGAUUCAUGUUCUAAAGUUUUGAUAUUUUUAUAUUAGUAUAAUCGCGCGCCCAAUGAGUUGCGUUUGUGACGGCGCUAGCGAGAGCUCUUAUGUUUCGUUUGGUCGCAGCUGCGCAUGCGUGUCGCUUUUCGCUUUCCACUUCUUCACUCUCUUGUGUCGUGUAUAGACUCGCUACUGCAUCGCUCGUGUAUAAAUUUUUCUUUUGUUGUAUAGUCGAUCAAGACAGUAUAAACUAAACAUUGUUCAGUUUAA